rnacentral:rRNA from 1 species
AUCAUUAAUUAUGUUAAAGCGCCUUACCUCUUAGGGUUUCCUCUGGGGUAAGUGAUUGCUUCUACACUGUGAAAAUUYGGCUGAGAGACUCAGACUGGUCAUGGGUAGACCUAUCUGGGGUUUGAUCGAUGCCACUCCUGGUUUCAGGAGCACCCUUCAUAAUAAACCUAGAAAUUCAGUAUUAUAAAGUUUAAUAAAAAACAACUUUUAACAAUGGAUCUCUUGGUUCUCGCAUCGAUGAAGAACGUAGCAAAGUGCGAUAACUAGUGUGAAUUGCAUAUUCAGUGAAUCAUCGAGUCUUUGAACGCAGCUUGCACUCUAUGGUUUUUCUAUAGAGUACGCCUGCUUCAGUAUCAUCACAAACCCACACAUAACAUUUGUUUAUGUGGUAAUGGGUCGCAUCGCUGUUUUAUUACAGUGAGCACCUAAAAUGUGUGUGAUUUUCUGUCUGGCUUGCUAGGCAGGAAUAUUACGCUGGUCUCAGGAUCUUUUUCUUUGGUUCGCCCAGGAAGUAAAGUACAAGAGUAUAAUCCAGCAACUUUCAAACUAUGAUCUGAAGUCAGGUGGGAUUACCC